rnacentral:rRNA from 1 species
AAACACCUUAUUUGAUUUUCUUCGGAACUGAAGAUUUGGUGAUUGAGUGGCGGACGGGUGAGUAACGCGUGGGUAACCUACCCUGUACAGGGGGAUAACAGUCAGAAAUGACUGCUAAUACCGCAUAAGACCACAGCACCGCAUGGUGCAGGGGUAAAAACUCCGGUGGUAUGAGAUGGACCCGCGUCUGAUUAGGUAGUUGGUGGGGUAACGGCCUACCAAGCCGACGAUCAGUAGCCGACCUGAGAGGGUGACCGGCCACAUUGGGACUGAGACACGGCCCAAACUCC